GACAGAGGGGGCAAGCGUUGCUCGGAAUCACUGGGCGUAAAGGGCGCGUAGGCGGGAUGGCAAGUCGGUCGUGAAAUCCUUCGGCUCAACCGAAGAACGUCGGCCGAUACUGCCGUUCUUGAGGGAUGCAGAGGGGAUUGGAAUUCCCGGUGUAGCGGUGAAAUGUGUAGAGAUCGGGAGGAACACCGGUGGCGAAGGCGGGUCUCUGGGCAUCUCCUGACGCUGAGGCGCGAAAGCUAGGGGAGCAAACAGG
rnacentral:rRNA from 1 species